AAAAAAAAAAAGAAAAAAAACCAACCUAAAACUUUUUGCUGAAAGUAUCUGCAAAACAAACAGUUUGGGAAUGCAAAUGCUUUUUUUUCCACUUUUGAUAAAUGUAUAAUUAGGCAUUUGUUUUCUUAAGCUUCAUUUGUUACAGGGAAAACUACUUAUCUAUGGAGAAAAUGACAUACUUUCUGCAGUUUGGUUGCAAAGUAGAAAUUAUUCUCUUAAAUUUGGAGUAAAUUGGACAAAAUAAUUAUCGUUCAAUGUAUAAGACUAAGGAAAUGUUUUGACACACACGAACUUUAUAUUUAGAUGAUCAACAACGCUCAGUAACGAACAAGUGUGUCUGUCUUUUUCUCGGACUCCUUCCUUUUAUGAGUUUGUAGAAGUCCAAAAAAUAACUUCUUGUUCAAGAAGUCAUUUUCCCUGAAAACAACUUAGUUUUCCCUUUUACUAGGAAAACAUUUUCCAUUGACUAAUUUUCAUAAGUGCUCCAAAUGCCAGGAAAAAAGAGUUUUCCUAAAAUAAACAGAGACUUAGACUUCUUUUGCUCUAAUGAAACAACCAUUAAAGCACACAAAAUAACCAGCUAAUUAUAUACAUACAUAUUUGUAUUUUGUGCAUAUUAUGCACGCACAAUAUUUUAAGUCAGCAUCACACAAGUCCAAGGAAAAAAGGAGGUCAAU
rnacentral:misc_RNA from 1 species